UACGUAGGGGGCGAGCGUUGUCCGGAGUUACUGGGCGUAAAGGGCACGCAGGCGGUGCGGCGCGUUUCGCGUGACAGCGGAGGGCUUAACUCUCCGAAGAUGCGAAAGACGGCGGCACUUGAGGGCCAGAGAGGGACACGGAAUUCCGGGUGGAGUGGUGAAAUGCGUAGAGAUCCGGAGGAACACCGAAGGCGAAGGCAGUGUCCUGGCUGGUGACUGACGCUGAGGUGCGAAAGCUAGGGGAGCGAACGGG
rnacentral:rRNA from 1 species